rnacentral:rRNA from 1 species
AGAAUCAACGCUGGCGGCGUGCCUCAGACAUGCAAGUCGAACGAUUAAAGCUCUCUUCGGAGAGUGUAUAGAGUGGCGCACGGGUGAGUAACACGUAAGUAAUCUACCCUCGAGUGGGGAAUAACGUCCGGAAACGGACGCUAAUACCGCAUAAUGCAGCGGCACCGCAAGGUGACAGUUGUUAAAGAUUUAUCGCUUGAGGAGGAGCUUGCGGCAGAUUAGCUAGUUGGUAAGGUAAUGGCUUACCAAGGCUACGAUCUGUAACCGGUCUAAGAGGACGGUCGGUCACACUGACACUGAAUAACGGGUCAGACUCCUACGGGAGGCAGCAGUCGGGAAUUUUGGGCAAUGGGCGAAAGCCUGACCCAGCAACGCCGCGUGAAGGAUGAAGUAUUUCGGUAUGUAAACUUCGAAAGAAUGGGAAGAAUCAAUGACGGUACCAUUUAUAAGGUCCGCUAACUACGUGCCAGCAGCCGCGGU